CGUAGGUGGCAAGCGUUGUCCGGAAUCAUUGGGCGUAAAGCGCGCGCAGGCGGUCCUUUAAGUCUGAUGUGAAAUCUUGCGGCUCAACCGUAAGCGGUCAUUGGAAACUGGGGGACUUGAGUGCAGGAGAGGAAAGCGGAAUUCCAUGUGUAGCGGUGAAAUGCGUAGAGAUAUGGAGGAACACCAGUGGCGAAGGCGGCUUUCUGGCCUGUAACUGACGCUGAGGCGCGAAAGCGUGGGGAGCAAACAGGAUU
rnacentral:rRNA from 1 species